rnacentral:rRNA from 1 species
UACAGAGGGUGCGAGCGUUAAUCGGAAUUACUGGGCGUAAAGCGCACGUAGGCGGCUUGGUAUGUCGGGUGUGAAAUCCCCGGGCUCAACCUGGGAACUGCAUCCGAAACUGCCUUGCUAGAGUAUGGGAGAGGGAAGUGGAAUUUCCGGUGUAGCGGUGAAAUGCGUAGAUAUCCGGAAGAACACCGGUGGCGAAGGCGGCCUGCUGGGCAGUAGCUGACGCUGAGGCGCGACAGCGUGGGGAGCAAACAGG